GAUGAACGCUGGCGGCAUGCCUAACACAUGCAAGUCGAACGGAGAUUAAGAAGCUUGCUUUUUUAAUCUUAGUGGCGGACGGGUGAGUAACGCGUGAGUAACCUGCCUCUCAGAGGGGGAUAACGUUCUGAAAAGAACGCUAAUACCGCAUAUUAUCACAGAAUCGCAUGGUUUUGUGAUGAAAGGAGCAAUCCGCUGAGAGAUGGACUCGCGUCUGAUUAGCUAGUUGGUGAGGUAACGGCUCACCAAGGCGACGAUCAGUAGCCGGACUGAGAGGUUGAACGGCCACAUUGGGACUGAGACACGGCCCAG
rnacentral:rRNA from 1 species